CUUCUCUUUUUGCAUGCCAUUUUUACUUGAGUUCCUAUCUCUUUCUGCUGUAUCUCCCAGUCCCUUGGGCUUGGGCAUAUGGAUACCUGGUACUAAUGAAAAGACAAUAAAGAUGAACAGUGGAAUUUUCAUAUGACUUAUGCUUGGUAAAUUUUAGAAUCAAAUUCAGUAUUAAUUCUGUAUUCUAGAAAGAAACCUUGGCCACCAAUCUGUUAAGAAAGGAGUCAAGUGACACCACUUUACAUGGUCUUGAUAUAUUUACAGAUACCACUCAGCAGUGGGAUCAGCCACAGGCAAUAAAUCUGACAUUCAAUAAAUAUUUGUGGAAUAAGUGAAUUUUUUCAUUUCAUCUGCACUGCCAUGGUACCUCUCAGGAAACAGAAGUUUUCCCCUUGAACUAAAACUGCAGAGCUAAUUGACUCUGCAGUUAACUAAUGUGCAAUUUGAAAAUAUUGCCCAGGAUGCACCUCCUGAGAAUCUACUUGAUAUUAGAACAUGUUUGGAGGCAAAUAUGAGGGACAAAAAGUUGUCCUUUCCAUAAAAGUUCCCCUAACCUACCUAGUGUCAUAGUAAGGUAAGUCAGUGCCAUCUUUCUCAAUAUGAAUUUCCAGGAUUUAUUUCCCUCAGUUGAACUAGUGCACUGUCCCUUUAAGAAGCCUGGCAAGAUGGAGCCCUCCCAGCUCCAGGCUAAAAGCUUUAAGCAGCCAGAUAAGGAUGCAGGAGUGUGACAAAAAGAAAGGACGCCUGGAGGGGGAACAAGUUUUUGACCCCUUGGGGGUGACAUUAUCUCAUUAAGAAUGUAUGAAUUCAAGUUUAAAUUACAAACAGAUUCUGGCUGCCAUAAACAACGAUCAAGGAGUCAAAACAUGAAAAUGAAAACAUUUCUAUUGAAGGAGAAAAAGAUGGUGGAGGAGGAGUAGGCUAUGAGACUCACCUACUCCCACAAAUUUAUCAAAAAUAUAUCUACAUGUGGAGCUAUCCACCCAGAAAACUUGCUGAAUGCUGACAGAAGACCCUAGGGUUCCAAUAGCGGAAGAAAAACUUCCUGACUGGGUAAGACAAAAAAAAAAAAAAAAGAAGAAGAAGAAGAAGAGAAGAAAAGAAAAG